GCUAGGCAUGGUGGUGUGUGCCUGUAGUCCCAGCUACUUAGGAGGCUGAGAUGGGAGCAUCACUUGAGCCCAGGAGGUUGAGGCUGCAGUGAGCCAUGAUUGUGCCACUGCACUCCAGCCUGGGUGACAGAGUGAGACCCUAUCUCCA
rnacentral:SRP_RNA from 2 species